GCAAAUAAUGGGGAUAAUGUCUUUAGCUUGUGCCAUUAGUUGAGUUAUAUUUCAGUAGUUAAAUAAUGCAACACAAGUUUUUUAAUGGUGUGAUCAUAGAUUUUUUUUUCCUUUUCAACAUUCCACGAAAGUAAAAAGUAUUUGAGUAAUAAUCCUCGUUAAACAACAGGGCUUAGUGUGUUCAGCAAGUGCUCUGCCCACCAACAAUCAUUCCCUGUCUCUGUAAGAUCCAAGUCAGAAAGAUCCCUCACA
rnacentral:lncRNA from 1 species